rnacentral:rRNA from 1 species
GACGAACGCUGGCGGCGUGCCUAAUGCAUGCAAGUCGAGCGAAUCAGUGGGAGCUUGCUCCCUGAGAUUAGCGGCGGACGGGUGAGUAACACGUGGGUAACCUGCCUGUAAGACUGGGAUAACUUCGGGAAACCGGAGCUAAUACCGGAUACGUUCUUUUCUCGCAUGAGGAGAGAUGGAAAGAUGGUUCUGCUAUCACUUACAGAUGGACCCGCGGCGCAUUAGCUAGUUGGUGAGGUAACGGCUCACCAAGGCGACGAUGCGUAGCCGACCUGAGAGGGGGAUCGGCCACACGGGGACUGAGAGACGGCCCAGACUCCUACGGGAGGCAGCAGUAGGGAAUCUUCCGCAAUGGACGAAAGUCGGACGGAGCAACGCCGCGUGAGCGAAGAAGGCCUUCGGGUCGUAAAGCUCUGUUGUUAGGGAAGAACAAGUACGAGAGUAACUGCUCGUACCUUGACGGUACCUAACCAGAAAGCCACGGCUAACUACGUGCCAGCCGCCGCCGUAA